rnacentral:rRNA from 1 species
AACGAACGCUGGCGGCGUGCUUAACACAUGCAAGUCGAACGGAAAGGCACUGCUUUUUUGGGGUGCUCGAGUGGCGAACGGGUGAGUAACACGUGAGUAACCUGCCCUUGACUUUGGGAUAACUUAAGGAAACUGGGGCUAAUACCGGAUAGGAGCCCCUGCUGCAUGGUGGGGGUUGGAAAGUUUCGGCGGUUGGGGAUGGACUCGCGGCUUAUCAGCUUGUUGGUGGGGGAGUGGCUUACCCAGGCAUUGACGGGUAGGCGGCCUGUGAGGGGGACCGGCGACAUGGGGACUGAGAUACGGCCCAGACUCCUACGGGAGGCAGCAGUGGGGAAUAUUGCCCAAUCGGACGAAGCCUGAUGAAGCAACGCCGCGUGCGGGAUGACGGCCUUCGGGUUGUAAACCGCAUCAGCCUGUGACGAAGCGUGAGUGACGGUAAUGGGUAAAGAAGCACCGGCUAACUACGUG